CACGUCCGGGCUGCACUCAAACCAGAAGCCCUGUCCAAGGUGCACUCAGUAGGACCCGGCCAUACCAUAAGGCCCCACCAGGGACCUGCUGGAAGGCUCUGGAGCCACUCACGCAGGGCCCUCGGUUUCGUGUGGCCCAAGCCAACUUCUGAGGAGGGGCUGUUUCUUCACCCCAAGACUGCGUCCCUCUGAGCCGCCCCUCCUGUUCUCUGCAAUCCUUCCAGUUCCUUCUGCCUGAGGAAGGACGUAUGUCCAGCUCCACUGCGAGCCUGGCACCCGCCCUGGGAGGUGAAAUUUCCACAACACAGAAAGAACAGAAAGUAGAAGCUGUUAAGCUCAGGACCGCAGGAUGGAGUAGCAGAGGGAGGCCGUGUCAGAGAUGACGCGCAGGAAAAAUGUGGGGUUCUUCCAAACUUGCUGAUGAAAUGGGAGCUGCAGCACACAUGCGUGAAACCUGAGAGGAUGGCGGACAGCGUCAGAGGAAAGGCCUCCUAAUCAGACGGUGCUCGUGGGUGUGGGCAUGGGCCCACCGGUGCCUGUGUGCGUGCAUGAAUGCACAUGCAUGGGUUUCCUCAUGGGCACAGGUGCACACACACGGAUGCAUGCAUGCAUGUCUGUGUGUGUGCUUGUGUGUGCGAGUAGCUGCGUGUCUGUGUGUGCACAGGUACACUGCGUUUCUGUGCACCAUCUGUAUGAACACGCAUGUGGAGGCUGAAGCAGCUCCAUCCUGGAUGCCAGCCCCCCAUGCUGGCUUCUGAUUAGCCCCUGUUCCGGGAAGGCCUCUAAGGUUUCCAGUUUAUCCAUUGUUCCUUGUGUACCAGCAGGUACUUAUCAUGAAUCCUGCCCUUCGUCAGACAACCUUGAUGUCAUCGUAUAUCAACGUCCUGCGCAUCCCUUCUGAGCCACCCGCCCCUGUGGUGCAUAAACCCUGGGUCUGGGGUGAUGGUGUGAGGACCCAUCAUCUCAUCUCACUGACACCGAGACACCGACUUGGCUUCUGUGUGUAGGUUAAGUUCCUA
ensembl:lncRNA novel transcript